rnacentral:tRNA from 1 species
GGGCCCGUAGCUCAGUGGUUAGAGCGUUCGGUUCACAUCCGAAAGGCCGAUGGUUCAAAUCCAUCCGGGCCCA